ACUCCCGCCGCGCCGAAUGCUCCCCAACGCCCUGUACAAUCCGGGGGAGAGGUCAAGGAAGGCGAGCGACGCUCGGCAGGAAGGGCAUCCCGCGAGGCCGCGACAGUGGCGGCACUCCGCUCCCACCAACCCACAACACUGAUCCCCUCCUCGCCGAGCUGCCGCCGGGGAUAAGCGUGGGGGAGUGAGAAGCCAAAAUCUAAGACACCGAUCCCCGGGCGUGAGUCGCGAAGGUAGCGGCGGAGAAAAGGGUGGAGCCACAACGCGGUCGUGAGCCCGCAGCCACCGGUUCCGUGCGGCUAGACGGAGAGAGAGGAGGAGGGAGCCGCCAUUGCCGUAGAUCUCCAGGAGCUUCUUGAGGGUUAGAGACGGGAGGAUGACAGUUAGAGUAGUGAUGAGGUACCUUGUUAACAAGCUGGGCCUUGAGGACGAUUCACAGGUUAAUGAUACUAUUGAGAUGCUUGAGAGAAUGGCUCACCGUGGUGCCUGCGGCUGCGAGAAGAAUACAGGAGAUGGUGCCGGCAUCAUGGUCGCUCUACCACAUGACUUCUUCAAAGAGGUCGCAAAGGAUGCUGGGAUUGAGCUACCCCCACUAGGCGAGUAUGCUGUUGCAAUGUUUUUUAUGCCAACAGAUGAAAAGCGUCGUAAGAAAGGCAAAGCUGAGUUUAAGAAGGUUGCAGAAUCACUGGGACAUGUAAUACUCGGGUGGCGUCUGGUUCCGACUGACAACUCAGACUUGGGUGAAUCUGCACUCGAGACUGAGCCAGUCAUUGAGUAGGUUUUCGUUACCAAGAGCUCAAUAUCAGAGGCUGAGUUUGAGCAACAGCUAUAUAUCCUUAGGAGACUCUCAAUCAUCUCUGUUCGAGCCUCUCUGAACAUUAAGCGUGGUGGAGAGAGGGAUUUCUACAUGUGCUCUCUAUCUUCUAGGACUAUUGUUUAUAAGGGCCAGCUUAAACCGUCCUAGCUUAAGGGGUACUACUAUGCAGACCUAGGUCAUGAAAACUUCAUGAGUUAUAUGGCUCUGGUAAAUACAAAACUUUGGCACUUACACAAAAAUUGUCAUGAUCAUAGUCGACGGAUGGGAACCAAUAAUAGCAAGGCUGUUGUAAGAAGAUACACUCCUAUAUAAGAGAUGGUUCGUUUCGGCGUCCAUGCAGGGUGUGGAAUGGAUCCAGUUUGUCCCAGUUCGGAAAUCGGAAUGGUGAACACAUAUGAGAUGAGCUUCCCGGAUAUGCUUUAAUACAAUCAGGUAUUAUCAAGAAAAUAAGAAGAAAAGAAACAGAUGGCUACUUUGAGGUAAAUAUUUCAGGGCCAUUUGUAUUUACUUAUGAGGUUUAGAUCAAAUGAUAGAUGAUGUCCUGCAUGAUUUUGGAAUUGCAUUUGUAUUGUAUAAACCUGAAUAUAAAUGCCAUUAUUAAAUUUGUGAAGUAGUCCGAUAGCAUCAAAAAUUUGUGAAGUAGUCUGAUAGCAACAGAAACUAUAAUUAAUUGAGUCUUAUUACUCACACUAGAUCUUGUCCCCCACCGCCUGAUCUGACUACUUUUGAGCUGAUUUGGUCAGGAAAGGUGCCAUUUUUACCCAGCGGCUUCCUCGCCACCAAAUUAAAGGUUGCAUUUUGUCUCCGGUCUCACCAUUCCCAUUUUAUUCUCUGCGUGUUGCUGUCUGCUCCAGGGCGACAGUGGGCAUGCUGCUCGGCGUCGAGGACAUGCACAGGUUCCCGGUGCGCUCCCCGUGGAUGGACCGCGGCGACCUCAUCCGCAGUCCCGCCGCGCGAUAGAUCGUGUCCAACUACUUCAGCAUGUUCGGGCCGGUGCAGGACGUGCGCAUCCCGUAUCAGCAGAAGCGCAUGUUCGGCUUCGUCACCUUCGUGUACGCUGAGACGGUGAAGGUCAUCCUGAGCAAGGGCAACCCGCACUUUGUGUGCGACGCUCGCGUGCUCGUCAAGCCCUACAAGGAGAAGGGCAAGGUCCCCGGUAGGUUUAGGAAGCUGCAGCACACGCACCAUGGCGGAGCCGAGUUCGUCGGUUGCGCGUCGCCCACUGGAUUGCUGGAUUCCAGGGACCCCUACGCCCUCCUGCUUCUUUCAGGUGCCCAGGUUUUCUCCUGGGCAUGAAGCCAUUGGGCUAUGAUGUGUGAGGUGCACAGAGCAAAAAAGGGGGAGGGCCCCCCUCCAUUCCUCUAAUCUGGGAGGGACUACUAAUAUGGCUACAUGAUGGCCGGUCCCAUCAACCGAGCAUAGAGAAGCUUUGAUAAAGAAAAAAGAAAUACCUUUGGAGAGGUGUAAUCUUCUUCAGAGUGGGAGAAGGAGGGGACAGUGAAGACAACAACAGAGAAGAAACAAGUCCAGUUUGUUUUUUAGCUCUUAGGCCUAUGAUAAGUAUAUGAUAGUAAGUGAGUGAGUAGUAGGCAUAAAUAAUAGUAGUAGUAGUUAAUUAGUAGUCGUUUAUUAGUAGCUGCUGCCAGUGUCAAGAAGGUGAUGAAAAGGCACACUCCAGCUCUCUCCUAUGCUCGUUUGUGGCAUGGAUGGAUCUCUCACUGUUGCUAUGAUAUGUUGUUUUAUUUAUAAUAUCGUGUGUAUAAAUAUUUCAUGUUUUUCA